UUUAAAAUCUGGCCUGCCCAAUGAAAAUUAAAUGGCCGCAGUAAUUUGACUGUGCAAAGGUAGCAUAAUCAUUAGUUUUUUAAUUGAAAGCUUGCAUGAAUGGUUAGACGAGAAAAUAGCUGUCUCAGUUUUAAUUAAUUAGAAUUUUAUUUUUAAGUUAAAAAGCUUAAAUAGUGUUAAAAGACGAGAAGACCCUAUAGAGUUUAAUAUAAUUAUUAAUGUAAAUGGUUUGGUAUUAGUUAAAUUUUUAUUAAUAGUUAUAUUUUAUUGGGGUGAUGGUAAAAUUUAAUUAACUUUUAUUAAUUAUUAACAUUGGUUUAUGGUUAUAUGAUCCAUUAAUUAUGAUUAAAAGAAUAAAUUACCUUAGGGAUAACAGCGUUAUUUUUUUUGAGAGUUCUUAUCAAUAAAAGAGUUUGCGACCUCGAUGUUGGAUUAAAAUUAACUUUUGGUGCAGUAGCUAAAAAGUUAGGUCUGUUCGACCUUUAAAAUUUUACAUGAUCUGAGUUCAAACC
rnacentral:rRNA from 1 species